rnacentral:rRNA from 1 species
GUACACAAAAAUGCACAUACUGUGAGCUCGAUGAGUAGGGCGGGACACGUGGUAUCCUGUCUGAAUAUGGGGGGACCAUCCUCCAAGGCUAAAUACUCCUGACUGACCGAUAGUGAACCAGUACCGUGAGGGAAAGGCGAAAAGAACCCCGGCGAGGGGAGUGAAAAAGAACCUGAAACCGUGUACGUACAAGCAGUGGGAGCCUCUUAAUGGGGUGACUGCGUACCUUUUGUAUAAUGGGUCAGCGACUUAUAUUCUGUAGCAAGGUUAACCGAAUAGGGGAGCCGAAGGGAAACCGAGUCUUAACUGGGCGUUAAGUUGCAGGGUAUAGACCCGAAACCCGGUGAUCUAGCCAUGGGCAGGUUGAAGGUUGGGUAACACUAACUGGAGGACCGAACCGACUAAUGUUGAAAAAUUAGCGGAUGACUUGUGGCUGGGGGUGAAAGGCCAAUCAAACCGGGAGAUAGCUGGUUCUCCCCGAAAGCUAUUUAGGUAGCGCCUCGUGAAUUCAUCUCCGGGGGUAGAGCACUGUUUCGGCAAGGGGGUCAUCCCGACUUACCAACCCGAUGCAAACUGCGAAUACCGGAGAAUGUUAUCACGGGAGACACACGGCGGGUGCUAACGUCCGUCGUGAAGAGGGAAACAACCCAGACCGCCAGCUAAGGUCCCAAAGUCAUGGUUAAGUGGGAAACGAUGUGGGAAGGCCCAGACAGCCAGGAUGUUGGCUUAGAAGCAGCCAUCAUUUAAAGAAAGCGUAAUAGCUCACUGGUCGAGUCGGCCUGCGCGGAAGAUGUAACGGGGCUAAACCAUGCACCGAAGCUGCGGCAGCGAC